rnacentral:rRNA from 1 species
AUUGAACGCUGGCGGAAUGCUUUACACAUGCAAGUCGAACGGUAGAGGGGGCAACCCCUCGAGAGUGGCGAACGGGUGAGUAAUAUAUCGGAACGUGCCCAGUCGUGGGGGAUAACGUAGCGAAAGUUACGCUAAUACCGCAUACGAUCUAAGGAUGAAAGCGGGGGAUCGCAAGACCUCGCGCGAUUGGAGCGGCCGAUAUCAGAUUAGGUAGUUGGUGGGGUAAAGGCUCACCAAGCCAACGAUCUGUAGCUGGUCUGAGAGGACGACCAGCCACACUGGAACUGAGACACGGUCCAGACUCCUACGGGAGGCAGCAGUGGGGAAUUUUGGACAAUGGACGCAAGUCUGAUCCAGCCAUUCCGCGUGCAGGAUGAAGGCCCUCGGGUUGUAAACUGCUUUUGUACGGAACGAAAAGGUUUGGCCUAAUACGCUGAACUCAUGACGGUACCGUAAGAAUAAGCACCGGCUAACUACGUGCCAGCCGCCGCCGUAA